rnacentral:rRNA from 1 species
AUUGAACGCUAGCGGGAUGCUUUACACAUGCAAGUCGAACGGCAGCGCGGACUUCGGUCUGGCGGCGAGUGGCGAACGGGUGAGUAAUGUAUCGGAACGUGCCCAGUAGCGGGGGAUAACUACGCGAAAGCGUAGCUAAUACCGCAUACGCCCUACGGGGGAAAGCAGGGGAUCGUAAGACCUUGCACUAUUGGAGCGGCCGAUAUCGGAUUAGCUAGUUGGUGAGGUAACGGCUCACCAAGGCGACGAUCCGUAGCUGGUUUGAGAGGACGACCAGCCACACUGGGACUGAGACACGGCCCAGACUCCUACGGGAGGCCGCAGUGGGGAAUUUUGGACAAUGGGGGCAACCCUGAUCCAGCCAUCCCGCGUGUGCGAUGAAGGCCUUCGGGUUGUAAAGCACUUUUGGCAGGAAAGAAACGUCGCGGGCUAAUACCCCGUGGAACUGACGGUACCUGCAGAAUAAGCACCGGCUAACUACGUG